GGAAAAAAAUGCCCGCCCUCUUCAUUCCCGCGUUUUAGAGUACUGCUCUCAUCUCUCUCUUCUUCCCUUCGUUUUAGACUUCUCUCGUCUCUCAUCUCUCUCUUCUUCCCUUCGUUUUUCUCCUCUCAUUCUCAGAUCUUCAUCUCUUCUUUCUGCUCAUUUUCCCCUUCUUCGGUUUCUUGCUCUCUCGGUGUACAAAGCAUCUCGGAUUCUUGGUCUGCUUAGCUCGUUGUAGAGAAGAUUAAUUAUACUCAUAAGGAAUUUUGUGUGGGCUUUGUGACAUCUAGAUUGCUUUGGAAAAGGAUGGCAUCAAAAAGAAAAUGAUCUUAAACAAAUCAAGUGCAGCAAGUCCCAAAUUCUCAAUAAAAUAGGGAAGUUGAAGAACAAGAGACUGAAACACAACCACAGCAAUUUCAUUUGCAACACCCUCAAGUUUCUCAACCCCAAGUAGACCAUUUGCCCUCUCAUCAUUCUCAGGAGGAAACUGAAGACCAAUUACCCCCACAAAUAGAGUCUUCAUAGCACAAGAAAACAAGAGGCCCCACUUUUUGUAAAGAUGUGUAUAAAAUGAAUGAUAAUGAGCACAUUUCUGUAUCUUUUAAUAAGUAUGGUCAACCAGAAGAUGGAAAAUUGUCUCAUUUUAUUGGCACGAUAGCAUGUAAUGGAAAUAUUGUACCUGUCGAUGUGGAUAGUUGGAAGAAAGUAUUGAAUACAACUAAAGAUCGUGCUUCGGGUUUUAUCAGGAUAAGUUUGAUGUUUCAGAUGAUCGUAAAGAAUGGUGUUUAAAUGUCCUAAAUGCAAAAUGGAAGCAAUGGAAAUGCAUUCUAUAUCAGGAUUUUUAUAAGCCUGAAGUUCCAAUAGCAGAACAACUUACUCCUCCAACGGAUCGUGUUGUUAAAGAACAAUGGGUAAAUUUGCUUCAAAUGUGGCAAUCAGAAAAAUUUAAGACAUUUAGCAAAGUAAAUAGAAGCAAUCGUGCUUUGAAGAAAAUAAACCACUGUGCAGGAACAGAGCGAAGACCAAAGUUUAUGAUCCAAAGCGAAGGUCAUGAGUGUGAUGCACGUGCAUAUAAUCAACUAUUCAGAUGCAAUGAGGAUAAUUUUGUUAAUUCUCUUUUCUUUUUUUGGUGAUGAAAAAAAAUUAUUAAAAGUGUGUGUUGAACAAAGACUACUAUGAAUGUUUUGUGUAAGUUUGUAUAGGUUUUAUUAUA